CCUGUCCUUUGGAAUCUGAAGUAUGGGUUGGAUGUAUGAGGUUUGAACAUAUUAUCUGAACUACCUGUUCUUUAUAGUUCGAGUUGAAAAUGACUUUCUCGGAAAAGACGAUUCUGGUUACCGAAGGAGCCGGUUUCAUUGGCUCUCACGCUGUGGUUCAGCUUCUCAAUGAAGGCUUUAGGGUUUCGAUCAUCGACAAUCUUGAUAAUUUCGUCACCGAAGCUGUUGAUAGGGUUCGUGAUUGGUUCGGCCCUAAGCGUUCUCAGAAUCUUGAAUUCCACCUGGGUGACCUUAGGAAUAAGGACUUGGAGAAGCUCUUUUCUCAAACACAAUUUGAUGCUUUGAACCAUUUUGCUGGCCUAAAAGCUGUUGGUGAGAGUGUUGCAAACCCUCGCCAUUAUUUUGAUUGGCACUAUUAAUCUUUAUGAGGUUAUGGCAAAAUAUGAUUGCAAAAAGAUGGUUUUCUCAUCUUCUGCAACAGUUUAUGGUCAACCUGAAAAAAUGCCAUGUGUUGAGGAUUUCGAAUUGAAAGCUAUGAAUCCUUAUGGAAGGACCAAGCUUUUCCUUGAAGAAAUUGCUCGAGAUAUUCAGAAGGCGAAGCCAGAUUGGAAAAUUAUAUGACUCAGUUACUUCAAUCCUGUUGGGGUUCAUGAGAGUGGUAGAAUUGGUGAAGAUCCAAAGGACAUCCCAAGCAAUCUCAUGCCAUAAAUACAGCAAGUAGCUUUCGGCAGAUUGCUUGAGCUUAAUGUGAAUGGUCAUGAUUAUCCCACGAAGGAUGGUAGUGCUGUCCGAGACUACAUCCAUGUCAUGGACUUAGCUGAUGGUCACAUUGCUGCUCUUCGGAAGCUUUUUACUAAAGAGGAUAUAGAUUAUCAGCGGCUUUCUCAUAGGUUGAAUACAUCAAAGCUUAUUGAAAAUAGUGAAUAUUUCCAAAAUAAACUGGUGGACACAAUACAUUUUAUGCAGAUUCUAAAUUUAAAAGACACUGUUGAAAAGGAUACCUUCUUCCGCAAGCUUCCAAAUUUAGCAAAGCAGCUUCCUCAUCCAAUUGUCCUGAAAAAGUUAGUUCCAUUAUUAGCUUCUACACUUGAAUUUGGUUCAGCUGCUGCCCUUGCUUUGGCUGCAUCUGGGUUGAUUGAUAUCUAUCCAUAUAAUGCAUAGAGCUCUAAUUGCUAGUUCGGCCAAUUUGAUGGCUCUAUAUGAACUAGCGGUUUUUGCGAUGCCCUAGGAAUAAGAUCUAUGUAUGUGCAAAGGAGAAUUUUUUUUUUUGAUAAGUAAUAAGAUUAUAUAAAUCCGAAAAAAUAAGCCACCCAAGUGUACAGGAAAUAUAUUGGUUUGACAAUUAGUACAUUGGACUUGAUGUAUUUGGUUGUA